CUUUGGCUUCUGGCUGGUUUGUUCCAGCCCUGCUCCUGCCUUGGACUCCGCCUGGCCUCACUUGCAGAUACAGAUAUUACCCUACUCCACAGUGGGUCUGAUAACACGGUAGUUCACGGAGGAGUCCUGGAGAGACACCUCUUCAAUUUCCAAGAGAUUGCAUUUUACUUGCCAAAUAUCACAAAAGUGGAGGUUCUGAAGUAUGUAUACAUCUGCUUCACAAUGAAAAUGGCUCUCACCUGACAGCAGGAGAAUACGGUGGAGAUGUAGAACCAAG